rnacentral:rRNA from 1 species
AUUGAACGCUGGCGGCAGGCCUAACACAUGCAAGUCGAACGAGUGUCGGACGGGUGAGUAAUGUCUGGGAAACUGCCCGAUGGAGGGGGAUAACUACUGGAAACGGUAGCUAAUACCGCAUACCAUCGGAUGGGCCCAGAUGGGAUUAGCUAGGAGGGGGGGUAACGGCUCACCUAGGCGACGAUCGCUAGAUGGUCUGGGCGGAUGACCAGCCCGACUGAACUGAGACACGGUCCAGACUCCUCCCGUAGGAAGCAGUGGGGAAUAUUGGAUACUGGGCGAACGCCUUAUACAGUCAUGCCGCGUGUAUGAAGAGGGCCUUGGGGUUGUAAAGUAUUUCUAGCGAGGAUGCGUUAUUCGCAGAAGAAGCACUGGCUCCCUCAGUGCCAGCAGCCGCGGUAAUAC